GGCGGGGAGGGUAUAGCUCAGUGGGAGAGUGUGUGCUUAACGUGCACAAGGUCCUGGGUUCAAUCCCCAGUACUGCCA